rnacentral:rRNA from 1 species
CAGCCGCCACGGUAAUACGGAAGGUCCAGGCGUUAUCCGGAUUUAUUGGGUUUAAAGGGAGUGUAGGCGGUCUGUUAAGCGUGUUGUGAAAUUUAGGUGCUCAACAUUUAACUUGCAGCGCGAACUGGCGGACUUGAGUGCACGCAACGUAUGCGGAAUUCAUGGUGUAGCGGUGAAAUGCUUAGAUAUCAUGACGAACCCCGGUUGCGAAGGCAGCGUACGGGAGUGUUACUGGCGCUUAAGCUCGAAGGUGCGGGUAUCGAACAGGAUUAGAUACCCCUGUAGUCCCUGUCUCUUAUAC